AACGAACGCUGGCGGCGUGCCUAACACAUGCAAGUCGUGCGAGAAAGUUCCUUCGGGAGCGAGUAAAGCGGCGCACGGGUGAGUAACACGUAGGUAACCUGCCCCCCAGUCUGGAACAACUAGAGGAAACUCUAGCUAAUGCCGGAUGAGACCACGAUCCCUUCGGGGUUGCGGCCAAAGAUGGCCUCUACUUGUAAGCUAUCGCUGAGGGAUGGGCCUGCGGGCCAUUAGCUUGUUGGUGAGGUAACGGCUCACCAAGGCUGUGAUGGCUAGCUGGUCUGAGAGGAUGACCAGCCACACUGGGACUGAGACACGGCCCAGACUCCUACGGGAGCAGCAGUGGGAAUAUUGCGCAAUGGGCGAAAGCCUGAUCCAGCAAUGCCGCGU
rnacentral:rRNA from 1 species